GCCAUCUCUGCUGGACGGUCCUCCCCCUGGGACUUCGCCCUGAGGGACUCAUCUCUCCGCGCUCUGACAGAAGAUGGCAUCAAUGUGACAGUGAUCCGUGCCCUCCACACACUCAUCUACAUCUGGCCCGGGCAGAGGAAGACACAUCAGAACAGAACUGGUGUCUCGGCAUUCUCUUGGAUGCCUGCUUCAUGUUAACUCGGUGCGAUGAAUUCCUCGAGGCCAUGGCUUCUGAACCUUUGAACCCACCAGAACUGCUGGCAGAGCCGUGCACACUUGAGCACUCAGCAAAUGGCUACCAGGUACCUGCACAAGGGUAAGCACUGUGCCAGGGACUGAGGGCUCGGCCUCGAGUGGGACAGGAUAACCAGGCAGUGAAGGUGCCCUGUGGGUAUCUGUUAGACAUACGGUGGCCGAGACUGUUACCUGCGGUCUACCCCGGGGAAGAAGCCUGCCCCUUUACUCUUGACCAUUUGGCAUUCUGGGAGACAGGGGUAUCCUAGGGUGUUUAUUCUGAGGCGUAGGGAGCUCACUGGGUAAAGCACCAUGGAACCUGACCUGGGAUCCCCAGAACUCAUGUAAUGCUAGAUUCAGGACCCGGCAUCUCUUGUCAGGUUUCCUACACCAAGAUGGGAGGCAGGGACAGGUGAGUCCCCAGACUGCCUCACUUAUGGAGUGGUGAACGGGACAGUCUGUCCCAAACAAGGUGGAAGGUGAGAGCUGGCCCCUGAGGUUGUCCUCUGACCUCCAUAUGUGUGCUGCGGCCGUGUGCCCACGAGUACACAGUACACACAGAGAUAUAAGAGCGCACACAGCGUGCUGGGGGCCUGAGACACAGAGAGAGACAGAGAUCUCGCCUCCCCUGCCCUCAGCUCAGUACUUUGUUCAGCUUGAGCAAGAAACCGGCACAGAGCAUGAGAUGGACCCGAGCCGAAUCCGAUGGUUAAAAACCAGCAUGUAGAUGCUGGGACACACAAGAGGGAACCCGGGUAGACAGAGAGCCAGCGGGCAGACACGGAGGCAAGGAGGAGAGGGUGGGCGGACUCAGUGGUGGGCAGGUGUCGCCAGCCUUGGGAUUCACUACUCUGGGGCCAAGCAGCUGGUCAGAAACAAAAACAAACACCAGGGGGUACAGGCUCCUGCUGUUAACAGCUUCAAACCACCAGAGGAAAACUCCAAAUAAAUAUAAUUAGAAACUUGUAAAAAAAAAAAAAAAGUCCUCUCUGUAAACCUGCCCCCCAGGAUCUACCCCUUAAGCAUCUUUCCACCCCCCCCCAGAGCCCACAUAGCCUGAUGCUGUACCUCAGCCAGGGGUCCCUCAGGCCUGUCUCUCAUCCUGCGUCUCCUACCCGCCAGCAACCCAGUUUGCUAAGUUUGCCCCAUUCAGUAACCACAAGCAGACAGCCCCAGGCACACAGCUCUGAAAUCCAAAGCCUGCAGCUCUCUGGGGCUACGGUUCAUCACAGGGGGAAACCAUUGGCAAACCAAGGCCCCUAGUGCCCCAUUCAGGGGGUCACCCACCCACUUCUGAGAGCCAGCAGUGGAUCCAGCUCUAACUACCAAGCAAACCCUUGAUCUGAGGAGGGAAGGGGGCGGGGUGGGGUGAGGUGGGAGGGUGGGAGGAGACAGAGAUCAUUCGUGGCUACCACAGGACACAGAAACACACACACACACACACACACACACACACACACGCAAUUCUAGGGUAGCUAGCUGCUCAUGGGACACAAGACUGUUAGAUGCUUGGGAAACCGAGGUGAGGGGCAUUGGGUGGGGGGUGGGGGAGGAAAAAUACCAAGUAACCAGGCCUCCAGCAGGCAGAGGAGAGGUCGUCCAGGUGGAGAGGGCCUGCCCUGUGUGUGAAAAACCAAGCCUGGGGCCUAAAGCUGACCCAUAUGAGUGAGUUCAGUAAAACUGGCCGAACCCUAAAGCUCCCAGCCAUUGGGCUUGGCAUUUGUCAAAACUCACACCCUACCUUCUGCCCACCUAGUGCCUCCCCAGUCAGGCCAGUGGGCAAGAGAGUGGC
rnacentral:sRNA from 1 species